rnacentral:rRNA from 1 species
UACGGGGGGGGCAAGCGUUGUUCGGAAUUACUGGGCGUAAAGGGCUCGUAGGUGGCCAACUAAGUCAGACGUGAAAUCCCCAGGCUCAACUUGGGAACUGCGUCUGAUUCUGGAUGGCUUGAAUUCGGGAGAGGGAUGCAGAAUUCCAGGUGUAGCGGUGAAAUGCGUAGAUAUCUGGAGGAAUACCGGUGGCGAAGGCGGCAUCCUGGACCGAGAUUGACACUGAUGAGCGAAAGCCAGGGGAGCAAACGGG